rnacentral:rRNA from 1 species
GACGAACGCUGGCGGCGUGCUUAACACAUGCAAGUCGUACGGUAAGGCCCUUUCGGGGGUACACGAGUGGCGAACGGGUGAGUAACACGUGAGUAAGCUGCCCACAACUUUGGGAUAACGCUAGUAAACUGGUUCUAAUACUUGAUAUGUACUCCUGCUGCAUGGUGGGGGUUGGAAAGCUCCGGCGGUUGUGGAUGGACUCGCGGCCUAUCAGCUUGGUGGUGGGGUAGUGGCUUACCAAGGCGGCGACGGGUAGCCGGCCUGGGGGGGUGACCGGCCACAUCGGGACUGGGAUACGGCCCAGACUCCUACGGGAAGGAGCAGGGGGGAAUAUUGAAAAAUGGGAGCGAGCCUGAUGCAGCAACGGCGCGGGCGGGAGGACGGUCUUCGGGUUGUAAACCGCUUUCAGCAGGGACGAAGAUUUUUGUGACGGUACCUGGAGAAGAAGCACCGGCUAACUACGUG